rnacentral:rRNA from 1 species
GAGUUUGAUCAUGGCUCAGAUUGAACGCUGGCGGCAUGCCUUACACAUGCAAGUCGAACGGCAGCACGGGAGCUUGCUCCUGGUGGCGAGUGGCGAACGGGUGAGUAAUGCAUCGGAACGUAUCCUGGAGUGGGGGAUAACGUAGCGAAAGUUACGCUAAUACCGCAUAUUCUGUGAGCAGGAAAGCGGGGGACCUUCGGGCCUCGCGCUCUUGGAGCGGCCGAUGUCGGAUUAGCUAGUUGGUGAGGUAAAGGCUCACCAAGGCGACGAUCCGUAGCAGGUCUGAGAGGAUGAUCUGUCACACUGGAACUGAGACACGGUCCAGACUCCUACGGGAGGCAGCAGUGGGGAAUUUUGGACAAUGGGGGCAACCCUGAUCCAGCCAUGCCGCGUGAGUGAAGAAGGCCUCGGUUGUAAG